ACGAACGCUGGCGGCGUGCCUAACACAUGCAAGUCGAACGUGAAAGUCCUUCGGGAUGAGUAAAGUGGCGGACGGGUGAGUAAUGAAUAGGAACGUACCUACAGGAGGGGAAUAGCCAUGGGAAACUGUGGAUAAUACCGCGUAAUAUCGCAAGAUCAAAGGGGGCCUCUAUUUAUAAGCUCCCGCCUGUAGAGCGGCCUAUUUCCCAUUAGCUAGUUGGCGGGGUAAAAGCCCACCAAGGCAACGAUGGGUAGCUGGUCUGAGAGGAUGAUCAGCCACACUGGAACUGAGACACGGUCCAGACUCCUACGGGAGGCAGCAGUGGGGAAUCUUGCACAAUGGGCGAAAGCCUGAUGCAGCAACGCCGCGUGAGUGAAGAAGGUCUUUGGAUUGUAAAGCUCUUUCGGUCGGGAAGAAGGGUCUUUUAGUUAAUACCUGAGAGAUCUGACGGUACCGGCAUAAGAAGCACUGGCUAAUUCCGU
rnacentral:rRNA from 1 species